AGAGCGCGUGUGGCCGCCGAGCACAUGGACCCACUGGUCAAGCGGGCUCGGCAAGGCCAGGAUGAAGAGAAGCUACGAACUUAGCAUUCCCAGAGCCCCCCGAGUGGAUAUCCGCGUGGAAAGGAUGUUGGCAGCCCCGGUGACCUCGGAGUCACGGCUGGAUCCACCCUCUUGUCUGAUUUUCUUAACUCUACUACGGUAAGAAGAUGCCCUCCAUCAGCAGGCCGUGUCUGCUGGGACCUCUCUGGAGACUUCCUGAACCCUGUGGAUUUACAGUAAGAUGCAGUUUCCUGGGGAGUAAUUCUGGUGGAUACAAAUUCCGGAGUAUUACACCUGGCUUGCCUGGAGAUGUUACAAGUAGCUGGAUGGAUUCUUCAGCCUGGAUGCCCACUGAAAACAAGGACCGAAACUAAGAGGAUUGUAUCUCUACCCUUGACUCAAUGAGAAUGUUUGUUGUCAUCUCUCGGGCUACCUGGAGCUCCCUCUAAAAUGUAAGCCCCUAAGACCCAUCUCCUUUCAAUGCAGUGUUUCUGUAUACCCUUUAAGCGUUCCAGAAGGAUUUUGAGAUCCUUUCCUAAAUCAAAGGUGGAAUAUUUGGGGAUUUGGAAAAUUGAGAUGUGAAGCGUUGACUUAAGAGAUGCCAAGUAACUCAGCAGAUGUCACACAGACGAUAAAUAGCAAAGAUGGAAGUCUUCAUGCCGGAGGCAAUCCUAUAAGACAGCUGAGUUCUGCAGAGCUGGUAGGAGACAGACUUGCUCAGGUGAUAGAUCCAGCCAUGAUACUGACCCUAAGAGAAUGAGACGCUCUGCAGAAGACAGAAGAUUCCUGAAACUGGGAAAGGUGCCUAGAAAUCCUGAUAAGAGUGAAGAAGGAGCUGGCAGAGCAGCCUUCCUCCGCACUAUGAAAGACAUCCAACAGAGAGCAAGUUCCCACCUCACUUCCAGCUUGACUCCUUUUUAUCUCCUAACUGUGGUCUGUGAUGUCUUCAGCAAUGGUAUUAACUAGUUCUGGGUACCUGGAGGCACAGCAGCCAUGUUGAACCUAUGAGGUGAUGAAAAACCAUGCAACUAGAAACCAGAAUGGAAGAAAAGAAGAAGCUGGAUCCUUGACUGAAUUGUCGAUGGGGGAUAGUCCAUCAUCCCAGGGCUAAGACCACCUCCAGAUUUCUUGUUUGGUGAAACAAGUCCUGAUUGUUUACAUUCCCUCGUGUUGAGCUGUCUCUUGCUUGUAGCUGAAAGCAUUUCUAAUAGAUAUUCAGAUUAUCAGCCUUAGCUCCAAGCUAGAAUACUCUAUGGGACCUUAGCUUCUCCAUGAAUUCCUUUGCUCAUCUGUGUAAUGCUCAAUAAAUGUAAAUUGAACCCUGAAUGAGGGACAAUGA
rnacentral:lncRNA from 1 species